GGCUCUUGGGAGGCUGCGUCCGCGCGCCGGCGAGGCGAGGCGGCCGGGCCCUGCGCGUCAGGCCUGAGACCUGGGAGGAAGCUGGAGAAAAGAUGCCCUCUGAAUCUUUCUGUUUGGCUGCCCAGGCUCGCCUCGACUCCAAAUGGUUGAAAACAGAUAUACAGCUUGCAUUCACAAGAGAUGGGCUCUGUGGUCUGUGGAAUGAAAUGGUUAAAGAUGGAGAAAUUGUAUACACUGGAACAGAAUCAACCCAGAACGGAUAGCUCCCUCCUGGAAAAGUAGAGACGAGGUUUCACCGUGUUAGCCAGGAUGGUGUCGAUAUCCUGACCUCCUGAUCCACCCGCCAUGGCUUCCCAAAGUGCUGGGAUUACAGGCAUGAGCCACCACGCCCGGCCAAUAUAUUGGUUUCUUUAUGAAAAUUAUACUGGAUCUGUUACAGAUGAUAGUGUCGAACCAAGUGGGACAAAGAAAGAUCUGAAUGACAAAGAGAAAAAAGAUGAAGAAGAAACUCCUGCACCUAUAUAUAGGGCCAAGUCAAUUCUGGACAGCUGGGUAUGGGGCAAGCAACCAGCUUUUGUGUGGUCCUCUGAGCCCCAGUGAGAGUUUCCUGAGGUACCUCACCCUUCCACAAGACAACAGGCUUGCCAUUGAUCUGCAACAAACGGCGGUUGUUGUCAUGGCCCAUUUAGACCGUCUGGCUACACCCUGUAGAUGCCUCCUCUGUGUAGCUCUCCGACGUCUCAUAAGAGUCAUUUUUUACAGGUCAGAACUGUAGAAAUAAUGAGAAAGUGACACUUGUACGCAUAGCUGAUUUGGAGAACCAUAAUAACGAUGGAGGCUUCUGGACUGUGAUUGACGGGAAAGUGUAUGAUAUAAAGGACUUCCAGACACAGUCGUUAACAGAAAAUAGUAUUCUUGCUCAGUUUGCAGGGGAAGACCCAGUGGUAGCUUUGGAAGCUGCUUUGCAGUUUGAAGACACCCGGGAAUCCAUGCACGCAUUU
rnacentral:lncRNA from 1 species